rnacentral:rRNA from 1 species
UACGAAGGGGGCUAGCGUUGCUCGGAAUCACUGGGCGUAAAGGGCGCGUAGGCGGAUCUUUAAGUCGGGGGUGAAAGCCUGAGGCUCAACCUCAGAAUUGCCUUCGAUACUGGAGAGCUUGAGACCGGAAGAGGUAAGUGGAACUGCGAGUGUAGAGGUGAAAUUCGUAGAUAUUCGCAAGAACACCAGUGGCGAAGGCGGCUUACUGGUCCGGUUCUGACGCUGAGGCGCGAAAGCGUGGGGAGCAAACAAG